CCUCUCUCAGGGUCGCACCUGGAGAAUUUCCAGUAUUCUACUAGUUUUGACUACGGGAGGGAGAGUCAAGCAGAGGCAUUUCCAUUCUUAGCUUUACCAGUGGCUAACAAGUGGAAGGCAAUCUGCUACAAGU